rnacentral:snRNA from 1 species
GGGCUCACUUCAGCAGCACAUAUACUGUAAUUGGAACAAUACAGAGAAGAUUAGCAUGGCCCCUGAGCAAGAAUGACAUGCAAAUAAAUGAAUCAUUCCAUGUUUUU